UACGUAGGCAGCAAGCGUUGUUCGGAAUUACUGGGCGUAAAGAGUGCGUAGGCGGUGCUCUAAGUCUGUUGUGAAAUCUCCCGGCUUAACUGGGAGGGUGCGGCGGAAACUGGAGUGCUUGAGGGUGGGAGAGGUAAGCGGAAUUCCUGGUGUAGCGGUGAAAUGCGUAGAUAUCAGGAGGAACACCGGUGGCGAAGGCGGCGACCUGGGUAGAUACUGACGCUGAGGUGCGAAAGCGUGGGGAGCAAACAGG
rnacentral:rRNA from 1 species